UACGAAGGGGGCUAGCGUUGUUCGGAUUUACUGGGCGUAAAGGGCGCGUAGGCGGAUAUUUAAGUCAGGGGUGAAAUCCUGGAGCUCAACUCCAGAACUGCCUUUGAUACUGGGUAUCUAGAGUCCGGAAGAGGUGAGUGGAACUCCUAGUGUAGAGGUGGAAUUCGUAGAUAUUAGGAAGAACACCAGUGGCGAAGGCGGCUCACUGGUCCGGUACUGACGCUGAGGUGCGAAAGCGUGGGGAGCAAACAGG
rnacentral:rRNA from 1 species